AAUACAUGCAAGUCGAACGCAUUGUGGUUGAAAUGAUAUGAAGAACUUGUUCAGAUUUGAUUUUCAACAUUGCAAUGAGUGGCGAACGGGUGAGUAACACGUGGGAAACCUACCUCUUAGCAGGGGAUAACAUUUGGAAACAAAUGCUAAUACCGUAUAAUAAUUAAAACCGCAUGGUUUUAGUUUAAAGAUGGUCUUGCUAUCACUAAGAGAUGGUCCCGCGGUGUAUUAGUUAGUUGGUGAGGUAAUGGCUCACCAAGACAAUGAUACAUAGCCGAGUUGAGAGACUGACCGGCCACAAUGGGACUGAGACACGGCCCAUACUCCUACGGGAGGCAGCAGUAGGGAACCUUCCACAAUGGACGAAAGUCUGAUGGAGCAACGCCGCGUGUGUGAUGAAGGGUUUCGGCUCGUAAAACACUGUUGUAAGAGAAGAAUGACAUUGAGAGUAACUGUUCAAUGUGUGACGGUAUCUUACCAGAAAGGAACGGCUAAAUACGUG
rnacentral:rRNA from 1 species